rnacentral:tRNA from 13 species
ACGCUACGGACUUCUACAUGUCAAUACCGGCAACAAUGAAAUUUCUAGUAAGAGGAAAAUCCGUCGACUUUAAAAAUCGUGAGGGUUCAAGUCCCUCUAUCCCCAAAAG